rnacentral:rRNA from 1 species
CACGUAUUUAGCCGGUGCUUCUUAUUCAGGUACCGUCAUUUCUUCUUCCCUGCCGAUAGGGCUUUACAUACCGAAAUACUUCCUCGCCCACGCGGCGUCGCUGCAUCAGGGUUCCCCCCAUUGUGCAAUAUUCCCCACUGCUGCCUCCCGCAGGAGUCUGGGCCGUGUCUCAGUCCCAAUGUGGCCGGCCGCCCUCUCAGGCCGGCUACUGAUCGUCGGUUUGGUGGGCCGCUGCCCCGCCAACUGCCUAAUCAGACGCGGGCCCAUCCCAUACCACCGGAGUUUUCCGCUGGGAGCCAUGCGGCCCCCAGCGCUUAUGCGGUGUUAGCAGCCGUUUCCGGCUGUUAUCCCCCGGUAUGGGGCAGGUUGCCCACGCGUUACUCACCCGUCCGCCACUAGGCCGCGGGGUCUCCUCCCCGAAGGGAUUCCUCCCCGCCGCCCCGUUCGACUUGCAUGUGUUAAGCACGCCGCCAGCGUUCAUCCUGAGCCAGGAUCAAACUCU